rnacentral:lncRNA from 1 species
GUUACUGGUGAAGCAUGUUAAGAAAUAGCAUCUCUAACUCCUGUUAUUUGAAUACAUUUUGAACUGGUGCUAAGCUAAUACAUUUCCCGCAUUUUCCGUAGGACUUUGGUCUUGCUGUUGCCUCAUAUCAGAAAAACCUACCAGUGAAUGUUGGCUGCUUGAAAAAAACACGUUUUUUACCAUCCGCUAGGACUUCUGUGAGAUGCCAUAACCACUGGACUGUUCCUCAAAGCAGAACUGGUGGAUAAGUAUUCUGAUGGGUCAAGCCAGGGAGCAAGGCACCCCCCCCACACACACCUCUCUGAUGCUGUGAUUCAUUUGACAGCCCCAGAAAACCCACACUUCUGUGGUUCUCUGGGGCUUUCCCACAGCAUCCAUUUCCCCCCACCUUCGAAGACUGGUACGAUACAACAGAGGACUUCAUCUGCCCAACCUGCAACUAGGUGCUGGGAAGUUGCCUACUCCCUGGCAGGAUUUAGGCCACCGCUUUCCACAACAGCCAGUCCUGCAGGGAUUUACACCCACUGGGUCCAUCUGUGUUUCUCCUGAGAUUCCCUGGAUCUGUCCAUUAGCCCCAUGGGCUUGGCGGCUGCAGAAGUUGCUGUGAAGCUCCCCUGACCUGAGGGUUAGGUGGGCAAGCAGAUGCUUGCCCUCUCCCCCUCUGGAAAUGGGAGAAGUUCCUGAUACCUUUCAAUGAAG